GAAAUGCGAUAAGUAGUGUGAAUUGCAGAAUUCAGUGAAUCAUCGAAUCUUUGAACGCACAUUGCGCCCCUUGGUAUUCCAUGGGGCAUGCCUGUUCGAGCGUCAUCUACACCCUCAAGCUCUGCUUGGUGUUGGGCGUCUGUCCCGCCCCCGCGCGUGGACUCGCCUCAAAUCCAUUGGCAGCGUUCCUUGCCCCCUCUCGCGCAGCACAUUGCGCUUCUCGAGGGCGGCUCCGGGACGCGAUCCAGCAAGAUGACCACCGUCUUUGACCUCGGAUCAGGUAGGGAUACCCGCUGAACUUAAGC
rnacentral:misc_RNA from 1 species